AUGUACAAGUGGCUGGAAAAGCCUCUCUAUGGGUGCAAUUAUAGGUGGAUCUGGGAGGCGAAAUUACCUCUCAAGAUCCAGAUAUUCUUAUGGCAAAUGGCGCAAGAUGCAGUCCUUACGAGGGCUGUGAUGCAGAGGAAAAAAUGGCCCGGAAAUCCGGUAUGCUCCUUCUGUAACAAUGCGGAAACAGUGUCCCAUCUAUUUUUUUCUUGCCCUGUGGCAAGAGUGGCCUGCAGGGCAAUUGGAGUAGUCCUGGGGACUGAACUCUGCCCAAACAAUGCCUGA
rnacentral:rRNA from 1 species